rnacentral:snoRNA from 1 species
UGAAAUGAAGAAAACUUUACUUCCCGAACCAUCGUGUGGGCCUUUGUCAUUUUUGUCAAAGGGACGUAAUUCUGAUU